rnacentral:rRNA from 1 species
UUUCCCGGUUGAUCCUGCCGGACCCGACUGCUAUCGGAUUGAGAUUUAGCCAUGCGAGUCGAACGUCCCCCUGUUGCGGGGGGCGUGGCGUACGGCUCAGUAACACGUAGUCAACCUGCCCUGGAGACAAGGACAACCCCGGGAAACUGGGAUUAAUCCUUGAUAGGUCAUCUCAUCUGGAAGGAGAGAUGGCUUAAAGGGGUACGCGGGCUUCUUCCGCGAAUCUGCUCCAGGAUGGGACUGCGUCCGAUCAGGCUGUUGGCGGGGUAAUGGCCCACCAAACCUGUAACCGGUACGGGCCUUGAGAGAGGUGGCCCGGAGAUGGACACUGAGAGAAGGGUCCAGGUCCUACGGGGCGCAGCAGGCGCGAAACCUUCGCAAUGCGCGAAAGCGUGACGAGGUUAAUCCGAGUGACUCCCGCUGAGGGGGUCUUUUGUCAGCUGUAAAUAGGCAGGCGAAUAAGGGGAGGGCAAGCCUGGUGUCAGCCGCCGCGGUAAUACCAGCUCCUCGAGUG